AGAGUUUGAUCAUGGCUCAGGAUAAACGCNGGCGGUGUNCAUUAUGCAUGCAAGUCGAACGAAUCAUUUCGGUGAUUAGUGGCAGACGGGUGAGUAACACGUAAGUAACCUGCCCUUAAGUGGGGAAUAACUCUGAGAAAUCGGAGCUAAUACUGCAUGUGGUGAUGGAGGUAAUGCUCUAUUACUAAAGCCUUAGGGCGCUAAAGGAGGGGCUUGCGUCCGAUUAGCUUGUUGGUGAGGUAACGGCCCACCAAGGCUUCGAUCGGUAGCUGGUUUGAGAGGAUGAUCAGCCACACUGGGACUGAGAUACGGCCCAGACUCCUACGGGAGGCAGCAGCAAGGAAUAUUGGGCAAUGGGCGAAAGCCUGACCCAGCGACACCGCGUGGAGGAAGAAGGCCUUCGGGUUGUAAACUCCUUUUCCCGGGGAAGAAUAAAAUGACGGUACCCGGGGAAUAAGUCUCGGCUAACUACGUGCCAGCAGCCGCGGUAAUACGUAGGAGGCGAGCGUUAUCCGGAUUUACUGGGCGUAAAGAGGGCGUAGGCGGCUUGUCAAGUCGGAUGUGAAAUCUCCCGGCUAAACUGGGAGGGUGCAUUCGGUACUGAUAGGCUAGAGUGCAGCAGAGGAAAGCGGAAUUCCCGGUGUAGUGGUGAAAUGCGUAGAUAUCGGGAAGAACACUAGAGGCGAAGGCGGCUUUCUGGGCUGUUACUGACGCUGAGGCCCGAAGGCGUGGGGAGCAAACAGGAUUAGAUACCCUGGUAGUCCACGCAGUAAACGAUGGAUACUAGGUAUGGGGGGUAUCGACCCCCUCCGUGCCGAAGCUAACGCUUUAAGUAUCCCGCCUGGGGAGUACGGUCGCAAGACUAAAACUCAAAUGAAUUGACGG
rnacentral:rRNA from 1 species